AGUGAACGCUGGCGGUAGGCCUAACACAUGCAAGUCGAACGGCAGCACAGGAGAACUUGCUCUCUGGGUGGCGAGUGGCGGACGGGUGAGGAAUACAUCGGAAUCUACUUUUUCGUGGGGGAUAACGUAGGGAAACUUACGCUAAUACCGCAUACGACCUACGGGUGAGAGCAGGGGAUCUUCGGACCUUGCGCGAUUGAAUGAGCCGAUGUGGGAUUAGCUAGUUGGCGGGGUAAAGGCCCACCAAGGCGACGAUCCGUAGCUGGUCUGCGGGGAUGAUCAGCCGCAGUGGAGCGAGGACACGGUCCAGACUCCUACGGGAGGCAGCAGUGGGGAAUAUUGGACAAUGGGCGCAAGCCUGAGCCAGCCAUACCGCGUGGGUGAAGAAGGCCUUCGGGUUGUAAAGCCCUUUUGUUGGGAAAGAAAUCCAGCUGGUUAAUACCCGGUUGGGAUGACGGUACCCAAAGAAUAAGCACCGGCUAACUUCGUGCCAGCAGCCGCGGUAA
rnacentral:rRNA from 1 species